rnacentral:sRNA from 1 species
GAAGUUAGCUACGAGCAGGUUAUGGUC